rnacentral:lncRNA from 1 species
AAAUCUAUGAUGCACGGAUUCUUCAAAAAUUAGUAUGUACGGCGAAUCGGAUUCUUUUAGGGUGCGAUUCUCUCGGAUUCUCGUCGGAUUCGCACCCGAUUCGCCACGUGGCGUAUCUUUUAAAACAAUUUAUAAAAAUAAACCGGAUUCACAAAUUCCAUAGGCGAAAUUCACGUAUCUCGUGCACGAAAGGCCUACACAAGGUUAUUUUGAUAAUUUUAUUUUCAGUUAUGACUUAUAUAUUGGAUAUAUUGGACUAAUAAUAUUUGAAUCGUUAUAUUGUUGCUCAAUUAACUUAUAUAAUUGAAAAUACUUAACUUUUGGGUAAAAUAAAAUGUAAAUUACAUAUAAUUAAUUUAAGAAAAUUUAAAUUGUAUAUAUUUUAUAAGCAUUAUAUAUAAUAAAAUUUUAAUAAUUAGAUGUAUCCUUGCCGAAUCGCAUCCUAUAAUUUUUAAAAAUUCGUAUCCCCGUACUCGUAUCGUAUCGCCCCCGCAUCCGCACCUCCGUACCUAUGCAACAUAGCCUCAAAUCAAUAUGGGUCCAAAUAUAUACCUAAAAAAAAUAGAAAAAAAAUAGUAUGUACGAUUGAAAAAAAACGAUAAGGAAAGGGGUCAACUUUCCAUUUUGGAAAAGUUGAAAACACGAUAAAAAGUAAAAU